UUGAUCCUGGCUCAGAAUCAACGCUGGCGGCGUGCCUCAGACAUGCAAGUCGAACGCGAAACCUUCCUUCGGGAGGGGAGUAGAGUGGCGCACGGGUGAUUAACACGUAGGUAAUUUGCCUUUGGGUGGGGAAUAACUCAGGGAAACUUUAGCUAAUACCGCAUAAUGCAGCGGCUCGACAUCGAGACAGUUGUUAAAGUGGGGGAUUCCUUCGGGAACCUCGCGCCUAAAGAGAAGCCUGCGGCAGAUUAGCUAGUUGGUAAGGUAAUGGCUUACCAAGGCGACGAUCUGUAACCGGCUUGAGAGGGCGGUCGGUCACACUGACACUGACAUACGGGUCAGACUCCUGUGGGAGGCAGCAGUCGGGAAUUUUGGGCAAUGGGCGAAAGCCUGACCCAGUAACGCCGCGUGAAGGAUGAAAUUUUUCGGAAUGUAAACUUCGCAAGAACUGGAAGAAUAAGUAGAAGAUAAUACCUUCUAUGAUGACGGUACCGUUUGUUAGCUCCGGCUAACUCCGUGCCAGCAGCCGCGGUAAUAAGGU
rnacentral:rRNA from 1 species